UACGAAGGGUGCAAACGUUGCUCGGAAUUAUUGGGCGUAAAGCGCACGUAGGCGGCUUUGCAAGUCGGAUGUGAAAUCCCUCGGCUUAACCAAGGAAGUGCAUCCGAAACUGCAGAGCUUGAGUACUUAAGAGGAUCGCGGAAUUCCCGGUGUAGAGGUGAAAUUCGUAGAUAUCGGGAGGAACACCAGUGGCGAAGGCGGCGUCUGACUGCACAUGACACUGAGGAACGAAAGCCAGGGGAGCAAACGGG
rnacentral:rRNA from 1 species